CGCGGCCUACGGGGGGCAGCAGUAGGGGAUUUUCGUCAAUGGGCGCAAGCCUGAACGAGCAAUGCCGCGUGAACGAGGAAGGUCUUCGGAUCGUAAAGCUCUGUUGAAGGGGAAAAAGAGCGGAGAGAGGAAAUGGUCUCCGAUUGAUAUUACCCUUCGAGGAAGUCACGGCUAACUACGUGCCAGCAGCCGCGGUAAUACGUAGGUGGCGAGCGUUAUCCGGAAUGAUUGG
rnacentral:rRNA from 1 species